GUCGAACGCUGGCGGCGUGCCUAAUACAUGCAAGUAGAACGCAGUUGCGAACGGGUGAGUAACGCGUAGGUAACUGCCUGGUAGCGGGGGAUAACUAUUGGAAACGAUAGCUAAUACCGCAUACUACCAGAUGGACCUGCGUUGUGUUAGCUAGUUGGUGAGGUAACGGCUCCCCAAGGCAACGAUACAUAGCCGACCUUGAAAGGUGCUCGGCCACAAUGGGACUGAGGCACGGCCCCGACUCCUUCGGGAGGCAGCAGUAGGGAAUCUUCGGCAAUGGGGGGAACCCUGACCGAGCAACGCCGCGUGAGUGAAGAAGGUCUUCGGAUCGUAAAGCUCUGUUCUUAAGGAAGCGGUACUUACCCAGAAAGGGACGGCUAACUACGUGCCAGCAGCCGCGGUAAUUC
rnacentral:rRNA from 1 species